rnacentral:rRNA from 1 species
GCGGAGGAAAAGAAACCAACAGGGAUUGCCUUAGUAACGGCGAGUGAAGCGGCAAAAGCUCAAAUUUGAAAUCGGCCCCCAGGUCGAGUUGUAAUUUGUAGAUUGUAUCUUGAGAGCGGAUUAAAGUCUGUUGGAACACAGCGCCUUAGAGGGUGACAGCCCCGUAAAAUCUAUUCUCAUUGUAAGAUACUUUCGAAGAGUCGAGUUGUUUGGGAAUGCAGCUCUAAGUGGGAGGUAAAUUCCUUCUAAAGCUAAAUAUUGACGAGAGACCGAUAGCGAACAAGUACUGUGAAGGAAAGAUGAAAAGCACUUUGAAAAGAGAGUGAAAAAGUACGUGAAAUUGUUAAAAGGGAAGGGUAUUGAAUCAGACUUGGUGCUGUUGUUCAACUGUGUUUCGGCAUAGUGUACUCAGCAGUACUAGGCCAAGGUGGGGUGUUUGGGAGUGAAAAAGAAGUAGGAAGGUAACUCUUCGGAGUGUUAUAGCCUACUUUCAUAGCUCCUCAGGCGCCUCAGGACUGCGCUUCGGCAAGGACCUUGGCAUAAUGAUUCUAUACCGCCCGU